GUUAUAUACCUCAUUAACCUUGACAGGGCUAACAACAAUGUUAUAUACCUCAUUAACCUUGACAUGCUAACAACAAUGUUACAUACCUCAUUAACCUUGACAGAGUUAACAACAAUGUUAAGUACCUCAUUAACCUUGACAGAGCUAACAACAAUGUUAUAUACCUCAUUAACCUUGACAUGCUAACAACAAUGUUACAUACCUCAUUAACCUUGACAGAGUUAACAACAAUGUUAAGUACCUCAUUAACCCUAACAGAGCUAACAACAAUGUUAUGUACCUCAUUAACCUUGACAGAGCUAACAACAAUGUUAUAUACCUCAUUAACCUUGACAGGGCUUACAACAAUGUUAUGUACCUCAUUAACCUUGACAGAGCUAACAACAAUGUUAUGUACCUCAUUAACCUUGACAGAGCUAACAACAAUGUUAUAUACCUCAUUAACCUUGACAGGGCUAACAACAAUGUUAUAUACCUCAUUAACCUUGACAGAGUUAACAACAAUGUUAAGUACCUCAUUAACCCUGACAGAGUUAACAACAAUGUUAAGUACCCCAUUAACCUUGACAGGGCUAACAAGAAUGUUAUGUACCUCAUUAACCUUGACAGAGCUAACAACAAUGUUAUAUACCUCAUUAACCUUGACAGGGCUAACAACAAUGUUAUAUACCUCAUUAACCCUGACAGGGCUAACAACAAUGUUAAGUACCUCAUUAACCUUGACAGAGCUAACAACAAUGUUAAGUACCUCAUUAACCUUGACAGAGCUAACAACCAUGUUAAGUACCUCAUUAACCUUGACAGAGGUAACAAGAGCACCUGCAAAAUAGAAGAGACAUAAUAUAUACUCAAAACAUCUUGCAGUACCUUGGAGAUCGUGCUGACAUCUCCCUAUGCAGAUGACAUAAGACAGCUACACCACGUGUCGUUGAUACUAUGCAGUUUCGUGGGAAACAUUUGGGUUUUGUUGUUACGAAGCCCAAACAAUUUGGCCGAUUGUUUGGUGUCUCUUUAGGGAACUUCUACUGUCAACUGGGACUCUGUUUCAGCUUCACCGGCUGAGAAGAGCAAGGCAUGUUUGGGGGUGAUGUGUCUCAUCCACUGUCAAUUGGGAUUCAAACUCGGGUCCGACGGCUGCCAAGGGUGUGCCUGUAACACAGUGACACCCCUGCCGACCAUUACGCCACCAUCCACGACGAUGGUGAUGCGGGUGAGGAGACUGUGACACGCCAUACCAACGAUGAUGGCUGUCAGUAAUGGGCGUGGAAACAGGAAUCGCAUAAACAACAUGUUUUACUCAAAUUAUUUGAAAUAUUGAAGUGUUUUUCUGAUAGUGGUAAGGAAAGCCUACAUUUUGAAAAAGUAAAUUUUGAAAAAGU